rnacentral:rRNA from 1 species
GAUGAACGCUGGCGGCGUGCCUAAUACAUGCAAGUCGAGCGAACAGACGAGGAGCUUGCUCCUCUGACGUUAGCGGCGGACGGGUGAGUAACACGUGGAGAACCUACCUAUAAGACUGGGAGAACUACGGGAAACAGGAGCUAAUAACGGAUAACAUGCUGAACCGCAUGGUUGAAGAGUGAAGGACGGUCUUGCUGUCACUUAUAGAUGGAUCCGCGCCGUAUUAGCUGGUUGGUAAGGUAACGGCUUACCAAGGCAACGAUGCGUAGCCGACCUGAGAGGGUGAUCGGCCGCACUGGAACUGAGACACGGUCCAGACUCCUACGGGAGGCAGCAGUAGGGAAUCUUCCGCAAUGGGCGGAAUCCUGACGGAGCAGCGCCGCGUGAGUGGAGAAGGUCUUCGUAUCGUAAAGCUCUUUUAUUGGGGGAGAACAAAUGUGUAAGUAACUAUGCACGGCUUGACGGUACCUAAUCAGAAAGCCCCGGCUAACUACGUG